rnacentral:rRNA from 1 species
GGUGUAAGCGGAACGCCGAAGGCGCGGGAUAGCAGAGCAAUGAAAAGUAUCGGUAGGGGAGCAUUCCACCGGCGUUGAAUGCGCGGAGCGAUCCGCGCUGGAGCUUGUGGAAAAGCAAAUGUAGGCAUAAGUAACGAUUAGGAGGGCGAGAACCCCUCCCGCCGUAAGUCUAAGGUUUCCCGGGCAAUGCCAGUCAUCCCGGGGUCAGUCGGGUCCUAAGCCUCAUCCGAAGGGAGAGGGCGAUGGCAGAGACGGUCAACAUUCCGUCACUUGCCACGGGGGCGAUGUGGAGACGGAGCAGUGAAACGGCCGCGGGGCGACGGAAGUCCCCGUUGAAGGGUGUAGGUGAUGAUAGAGGCAGGCAAAUCCGCCUUUAGAGCCGAACCUGACAGUAUCUUCCCUCCUUCGGGAGGUAGGAAUAGCGCCGGUAACCAUACUCCCGAGAAAAUCCGCUAAGCUCAACCCCAUGGCAACCCGUACCGCAAACCGACACAGGUAGACGGGUAGAACAUACUAAGGCGUUGGAAGAUUCAUGGUUAAGGAACUAGGCAAACUGACCCUGUAACUUCGGGAUAAAGGGUCCUCACAGCGAUGUGAGGCGCAGAGAAUAGGUCCAGGCAACUGUUUAACAAAAACACAGGGCUGUGCAAACACGAAAGUUGAGGUAUACAGCCUGACACCUGCCCGGUGCCGGAAGGUUAAGAGGAGACGUCAUCCCUUUGGGUGCAGCGUUGAAUUGAAGCCCCGGUAAACGGCGGCCGUAACAAUAACGGUCCUAAGGUAGCGAAAUUCCUUGUCGGGUAAGUUCCGACCUGCACGAAUGGUGUAAUGAUCCGGACGCUGUCUCAACCAUGAUUCCAGUGAAAUUGUAGUAUCGGUGAAGAUGCCGAUUACCCGCGAUGGGACGAAAAGACCCCGUGAACCUUUACUGCAGUUUUGCAUUGACCUUGGUCAUCCGAUGUGUAGGAUAGGCCGGAGGCUAUGAAGCGCGGGCGCCAGUCCGUGUGGAGCCAUCCUUGAAAUACGGCCCUUUGGCUGUCUGAGGUCUAACGCGCGAUGCGCGGACACUGCUUGGCGGGCAGUUUGACUGGGGUGGUCGCCUCCAAAAGCGUAACGGAGGCUUCCAAAGGUGCCCUCGGGCCGAUUGGUAACCGGCCUUACAGAGUGCAAUGGCAUAAGGGCGCUUGACUGGGAGGCAGACAUGCCGAUCAGGCAGGAAACUGGGGCAUAGUGAUCCGGUGCAAGUGUAUGGAAACUGCAUCGCUCAAAGGAUAAAAGGUACUCCGGGGAUAACAGGCUGAUCCCCCCCAAGAGCUCAUAUCGACGGGGUGGUUUGGCACCUCGAUGUCGGCUCGUCACAUCCUGGGGCUGAGAAGGUCCCAAGGGUUGGGCUGUUCGCCCAUUAAAGUGGCACGCGAGCUGGGUUCAGAACGUCGUGAGACAGUUCGGUCUCUAUCUAUCGUGGGCGCAGGAGUUUUGCGCGGUGCCGUCACUAGUACGAGAGGACCGUGAUGGACAGACCUCCGGUCUACCGGUUGUGCCGCCAGGCGCACCGCCGGGUAGCCGAGUCUGGAUGGGAUAAGCGCUGAAAGCAUCUAAGUGCGAAGCCCGCCGCAAGAUUAGAACUCCCCAUUAGGGUCGUCCUAGACGAGGACGUUGAUAGGGCGCAGGUGUAAAGGCGGCGACGCCAAAGCCGAGCGCUACUAAUUGCCC